CCUACGGUGAGCAGCAGUGAGGAAUAUUGGUCAAUGGACGCAAGUCUGAACCAGCCAUGCCGCGUGCAGGAAGACGGCUCUAUGAGUUGUAAACUGCUUUUGUACGAGGGUAAACGCAGAUACGCGUAUCUGUCUGAAAGUAUCGUACGAAUAAGGAUCGGCUAACUCCGUGCCAGCAGCCGCGGUAAUACGGAGGAUGCGAGCGUUAUCCGGAUUUAUUGGGUUUAAAGGGUGCGCAGGGGGGAGAUCAAGUCAGCGGUAAAAUGUCGGGGCUCAACCCCAGCCGGCCGUUGAAACUGGUUGUCUAGAGUUGGAGAGAAGUAUGCGGAAUUCGUGGUGUAGCGGUGAAAUGCAUAGAUAUCACGAAGAACUCCGAUUGCGAAGGCAGCAUACCGGCUCCAUACUGACGCUGAGGCACGAAAGCGUGGGGAUCGAACAGGAUUAGAUACCCGAGUAGUC
rnacentral:rRNA from 1 species